rnacentral:rRNA from 1 species
ACGUACACUCCUACGGGAGGCAGCAGUGGGGAAUAUUGCACAAUGGGCGCAAGCCUGAUGCAGCCAUGCCGCGUGUAUGAAGAAGGCCUUCGGGUUGUAAAGUACUUUCAGCGGGGAGGAAGGCGAUAAGGUUAAUAACCUUGUCGAUUGACGUUACCCGCAGAAGAAGCACCGGCUAACUCCGUGCCAGCAGCCGCGGUAAUACGGAGGGUGCAAGCGUUAAUCGGAAUUACUGGGCGUAAAGCGCACGCAGGCGGUCUGUCAAGUCGGAUGUGAAAUCCCCGGGCUCAACCUGGGAACUGCAUUCGAAACUGGCAGGCUAGAGUCUUGUAGAGGGGGGUAGAAUUCCAGGUGUAGCGGUGAAAUGCGUAGAGAUCUGGAGGAAUACCGGUGGCGAAGGCGGCCCCCUGGACAAAGACUGACGCUCAGGUGCGAAAGCGUGGGGAGCAAACAGGAUUAGAAACCCGGGUAGUCCCAUG